rnacentral:rRNA from 1 species
UCCGUAGGUGGAUAAUUAAGUCAGAGGUGAAAUCCUGCAGCCCAACUGUAGAAUUGCCUUUGAUACUGGUUAUCUUGAGUUAUUAUGAAGUAGUUAGAAUAUGUAGUGUAGCGGUGAAAUGCAUAGAUAUUACAUAGAAUACCAAUUGCGAAGGCAGAUUACUAAUAAUCAACUGACACUGAUGGACGAAAGCGUGGGGAGCGAACAGGAUUAGAUACCCUGGUAGUCC